AUUGAACGCUGGCGGCAUGCCUUACACAUGCAAGUCGAACGGUAACAGGUCUUCGGAUGCUGACGAGUGGCGAACGGGUGAGUAAUACAUCGGAACGUGCCCGAUCGUGGGGGAUAACGCAGCGAAAGCUGUGCUAAUACCGCAUACGAUCUACGGAUGAAAGCGGGGGAUCGCAAGGCCUCGCGCGGACGGAGCGGCCGAUGGCAGAUUAGGUAGUUGGUGGGAUAAAAGCUUACCAAGCCGACGAUCUGUAGCUGGUCUGAGAGGACGACCAGCCACACUGGAACUGAGACACGGUCCAGACUCCUACGGGAGGCAGCAGUGAGGAAUAUUGCGCAAUGGGGGAAACCCUGACGCAGCGACGCCGUGUGAGCGAUGAAGGCCUUCGGGUCGUAAAGCUCUGUCAGAGGGAAGAAAGGGUACGGCGGAAUAAUACCCGCCGACAUUGACGGUACCCUCGGAGGAAGCACCGGCUAACUCCGUGCCAGCACG
rnacentral:rRNA from 1 species